CGGAAGUGGAUGAGAUCUCCGUCUUGGGUUUCUAGUGCUUCCAUUGGUUUUUGGAAGCAUUCUUCAAGUAGACCAGCAGUAGUGCUUAAUAAAAAUCUUGUUGUGGCUGAUAAGUCUCUCAUUGAAAGGGCAGCAGGGAUCUGCAAACAAAAAUACCAGGCAGUGGAAAAAACUUAAGCCACCAUCGAUGCGGCGAAACUUGAAGUGAUACCCAGUAAUGUCGACCUUUUCAAGGUUCAGCAUCGAUUUUACUAUGUUUUUUGGCUUCUUGUCAUGCGUUUGUUCUUGUUUCAGCAUGUCCUGUUUAUUUUUUACGUAUAACCUUAUACGUCCAUCGAUUGAACUCAAGCUCUCUCUUUAUACAAGAACUUAUUCUUCCUUUUACAAUCACUGCUCGGAAUAUUGACAAGCUUAGACGCUGGGAGGAGCCACACUUGACUCUCUUUCCUUGCAUUUGUUUAUACAAUUAUUUUCAGAAACCUGCUGCCAUAUGUUUUUCCGAUGGCUUUGAUUGUCUUAGCCGCCUGCAUGCUAACGCUUAAAGGCCUCGAGGAGCAAGGUCGUCUCGGUAGAUCUUUCGGCAAAGUCACUAUACGUGAUCAGCCACCU